ACCAGGGCAGCUGCAGGACGGGCCACUGGGUCUGCAAACAUGACAAAGAAAAAAGUCUCCCAAAAGAAGCAGAGAGGCCGACCUUCAUCCCAGCCCCGCAGGAACAUCGUGGGCUGCAGAAUUUCUCAUGGAUGGAAGGAAGGAGAUGAGCCCAUCACGCAGUGGAAAGGAACCGUUCUGGAUCAGCUGCCUGAAACCACAGGUGGUUCCGACAAAUAAUCCACUAAAAGAGGCCUGCUGUCCCAAGAAUCCACAUUCUGGUUAGACCUUCCCCACAAAGCUGGUGUCUGCAGACCCCUCACAGGCACCUGUUGGCCAGUCUUGCCUACCCCAGCUCACAGAGACCUGUGAUGGAAUUCUGGUCAGCUCUUUGUUUCCAGGUGAGGCAGAUGCCAUGGGGC
rnacentral:lncRNA from 1 species